CGACGGGGGCGGGGAGGCUGGGGGGAGCGCGGUCUGCGGAGCUACAGCGGGGCUACAGCGGGACCCGCCUCGAACAAAGCCGCGGAGAAUGCGUUUUGUGCCGCCCUUCCGGCGCGCACCCUGACCCCGCCGUGGGUUCGGCUCGCCUUGGCUCGGCGGGACCGCAGGUGUCGCGGCGGGACCGGGAGGUGGCAGCCCGCGGCGGAGUGGGGAGGAGGGCUGACCGUCUCGGUGUCUCACCUUGCCGUCGGCCUCUUAAGCCCGGGCAACUCCCUGUAAACCUUUAAGGAAGUUUAUAGAAGAGGCAGCUGCUCCUGAGCGCGGCACUAAUACUUCUUAGGGCCCGGGAUUAGAGCUGCCGCCGGCGAUGUGCCGCGGGCACCGUUCGGGGCGGGCGCCGGGGGUCCAGAGGAGCCUGACGGGAAGCGCCGGUGUGGCCGGGGACAGGACAUGAUGAGCGGCGGCGGUAGGAAAAUCAGAUUCAGAGCACAGAGAUUGCCACAAUUCUUUCCAGUAACUUCCUAAAGCCGGAUCAGACUACUUUGGAGAUCUCAGCACUGAUUUUUGUGAAAACAUUGCCCUUUGUAACUGAUUCGAUGUCAUCACGUCACAAGAAGUGCCUGUCCUUCCUUGCUUAGCUUGAACAGAAUUUAAACUGCUGAUCUGUAGCUGAAAAGCUGAUUGCCUUGUUGCCAAGGAUGUAACCUUGCAAAUUCUGUAUCAACUUCAUGUCUCUUGUCAACUUGAAAAAGCUGAUAGUCUUGUGCUGGUUAUUAAUAAAGUUGUGCUUACACAUCC